rnacentral:rRNA from 1 species
UUGGCUUAGAAGCAGCCAUCUUUUAAAGAUAGCGUAACAGCUCACUGGUCUAAUUUAAGUUAUCCUGCGGCGAAGAUGUACCGGGGCUCAAGCCAUGAGCCGAAGCUAGGGAUGCAAUUUAUUGCAUGGUAGCGGAGCGUUCUGUGAUAUAGAACGCUGCGUCUUUAGUAUCUUAGGAUAUUGUGGACGCAAUGUUCUGACUGUGAAGCCGGCGCGUAAGCGAUCCGGUGGAGUGAUCAGAAGUGAGAAUGUUGACAUGAGUAGCGACAAACAGGGUGAGAGACCCUGUCGCCGAAAGUCCAAGGGUUCCUGCUUAAAGCUAAUCUGAGCAGGGUAAGCCGACCCCUAAGGCGAGGCCGAAAGGCGUAGUCGAUGGGAACCAGUUUAAUAUUACUGGGCCAGGAGAUGGUGACGGAUCGAAAGCGUAGUGACUCCUUAUCGGAUUGAAGUUGCUGCCGGACGGUUCCUGGAAAUAGCCCUCCAUUAGAUCGUACCCUAAACCAACACAGGUGGACUGGUAGAGAAUACCAAGGCGCUUGAGAGAACUACAUUGAAGGAACUCGGCAAAAUGCCUCCGUAAGUUCGCGAGAAGGAGGCCCCAUCAGAAGGCAACUUUUGGUGGGGGGCACAGACCAGGGGGUGGCGACUGUUUACUAAAAACACAGGGCUCUGCGAAGUCGUAAGACGACGUAUAGGGUCUGACGCCUGCCCGGUGCUGGAAGGUUAAGAGGAGGUGUGCAAGCACUGAAUUGAAGCCCCAGUAAACGGCGGCCGUAACUAUAACGGUCCUAAGGUAGCGAAAUUCCUUGUCGGGUAAGUUCCGACCUGCACGAAUGGCGUAACGACUUCCCCGCUGUCUCCAACAUAGACUCAGUGAAAUUGAAUUGCCUGUCAAGAUGCAGGCUUCCCGCGGUUAGACGGAAAGACCCCGUGCACCUUUACUACAGCUUCACACUGGCAUUAGGUCAGACGUGUGCAGGAUAGGUGGUAGGCUUUGAAACUCGGACGCCAGUUCGGGUGGAGCCUUCCUUGAGAUACCACCCCUGUCUGUCUUGAUGUCUAACCGCGGUCCGUUAUCCGGAUCCGGGACCCUGUGUGGCGGGUAGUUUGACUGGGGCGGUCGCCUCCUAAAGAGUAACGGAGGCGCGCGAUGGUUGGCUCAGACCGGUCGGAAAUCGGUCGUCGAGUGCAAUGGCAUAAGCCAGCCUGACUGUGAGUCUGACAAGACGAGCAGAGACGAAAGUCGGUCAUAGUGAUCCGGUGGUCCCGAGUGGAAGGGCCAUCGCUCAACGGAUAAAAGGUACGCCGGGGAUAACAGGCUGAUACUGCCCAAGAGUCCAUAUCGACGGCAGUGUUUGGCACCUCGAUGUCGGCUCAUCUCAUCCUGGGGCUGGAGCAGGUCCCAAGGGUACGGCUGUUCGCCGUUUAAAGAGGUACGUGAGCUGGGUUUAGAACGUCGUGAGACAGUUCGGUCCCUAUCUGCCGUGGGUGUAGGAGACUUGAUGGGAGUUGCCCCUAGUACGAGAGGACCGGGGUGAACGAUCCACUGGUGGAUCUGUUGUUGCGCCAGCAGCAGUGCAGAGUAGCUAUGAUCGGACAGGAUAACCGCUGAAGGCAUCUAAGCGGGAAGCCCCCCCAGAAACCAGGUCUCCCUUGAGGGCCGUGGAAGACCACCACGUCGAUAGGUCGGAGAUGUAAGUGCUGUAAAGCAUUCAGUUGACCGAUACUAAUUGCCCGAUAGGCUUGAUU